rnacentral:tRNA from 1 species
GGCGCCAUCGUCUAGUGGUUAGGACGAGAGCUUUUCAAGCUCUAAACGGGGGUUCGAUUCCCCCUGGCGCUGCCA